rnacentral:rRNA from 1 species
CAGGCCUAACACAUGCAAGUCGAACGGUGAUGCGGAGCUUGCUCCGCGGAUCAGUGGCGAACGGGUGAGUAACACGUGAGUAACCUGCCCUUGACUCUGGGAUAAGCGUUGGAAACGACGUCUAAUACCGGAUAGGACUCCAUCGGGCAUCUGGUGGGGUGGAAAGAUUUUUCGGUCAUGGAUGGACUCGCGGCCUAUCAGCUUGUUGGUGGGGUGAUGGCCUACCAAGGCGACGACGGGUAGCCGGCCUGAGAGGGUGACCGGCCACACUGGGACUGAGACACGGCCCAGACUCCUACGGGAGGCAGCAGUGGGGAAUAUUGCACAAUGGGCGAAAGCCUGAUGCAGCAACGCCGCGUGAGGGAUGACGGCCUUCGGGUUGUAAACCUCUUUUAGCAGGGAAGAAGCGAGAGUGACGGUACCUGCAGAAAAAGCACCGGCUAACUACGUGCCAGCAGCCGCGGUAAU